UGGUGCACUUGCUGCAAUGGGACCACGCCAAUCCAUCCCGAACUUGGACGUGAAACGUUGCAGGGGCAACAAUACUUGUGGGGCGACCCACCGGGAAGAUCCCCUUGUGCCAAGGA
rnacentral:rRNA from 1 species